rnacentral:rRNA from 1 species
CCUACGGGUGGCAGCAGUGGGGGAUAUUGCACAAUGGGGGGAACCCUGAUGCAGCGACGCCGCGUGGGUGAAGGAGCGUUUCGGCGCGUAAAGCCCUAUCAGCAGGGAAGAAGAUGACGGUACCUGACCAAGAAGCCCCGGCUAACUACGUGCCAGCAGCCGCGGUAAUACGUAGGGGGCAAGCGUUAUCCGGAUUUACUGGGUGUAAAGGGGGCGCAGGCGGCAAUGCAAGCCAGGUGUGAAAGCCCGGGGCCCAACCCCGGUACUGCUGUUGAAACUGCAUGGCUGGAGUGCAGGAGAGGCAGGCGGAAUUCCUAGUGUAGCGGUGAAAUGCGUAGAUAUUAGGAGGAACACCGGUGGCGAAGGCGGCCUACUGGACUGUGACGGACGUUGAGGCCCGAAGGCGUGGGGAGCAAACAGGAUUAGAUACCCGGGUAGUC